GUGCUUGCUUCAGCAGCACAUAUACUAAAAUUGGAACGACACAGAGAACAUUAGCAUGGCUCCUGCGCAAGGAUGACAUGCAAAUUCGUGAGGGGAGGCACUAUUUU